rnacentral:rRNA from 1 species
GACAGAGGUCCCAAGCGUUAGGCGGAAUCACUGGGCUUAAAGCGUGUGUAGGCGGGUCGGUAAGUGCCUUGUGAAAUCCCACAGCUCACCUGUGGAACUGCUGGGCAUACUGCCAAUCUUGAGCCACUUAGGGGCAACCGGAACAAACGGUGGAGCGGUGAAAUGCGUAGAUAUCGUUUGGAACGCCAAUGGUGAAAACAGGUUGCUGGGAGUGUGCUGACGCUGAGACACGAAAGCCAGGGGAGCGAACGGG